GGGGAUAUAGCUCAAUGGUGGAGUGCUUGCCUACCAUGUGUGAGGCUCUGGGUUUGAACCCAGUAUCUCAA
rnacentral:tRNA from 1 species